rnacentral:rRNA from 1 species
UACAGAGGGUGCAAGCGUUGUUCGGAAUCACUGGGCGUAAAGCGCGCGCAGGCGGGUGGGCAAGUCGGAAGUGAAAUCUCGCCGCUCAACGACGAGGCUGCUUCGGAUACUACCCAUCUAGGGACCGGUAGAGGCUGGUAGAAUUGCAGGUGUAGCGGUGGAAUGCGUAGAGAUCUGCAAGAAUACCCGUGGCGAAGGCGGCCAGCUGGGCCGGGUCCGACGCUGAGGCGCGAAAGCGUGGGGAGCAAACAGG